CCUACGGUGGUCUGCAGUGAGGAAUAUUGGUCAAUGGUCGGGAGACUGAACCAGCCAAGCCGCGUGAGGGAGGAAGGUACAGAGUAUCGUAAACCUCUUUUGUCAGGGAACAAAGACUGGGACGCGUCCCCGGAUGAGUGUACCUGAAGAAAAAGCAUCGGCUAACUCCGUGCCAGCAGCCGCGGUAAUACGGAGGAUGCGAGCGUUAUCCGGUUGUAUUGGGUUAAAAGGGUGCGCAGGCGGUCUGUUAAGUCAGAGGUCAAAGCCCGGGGCUCAACACAGGCCCGCCGUUGAAACUGGCAGGCUCGAGUUGGAGAGAAGUAGGCGGAAUGCGCGGUGUAGCGGUGAAAUGCAUAGAUAUCGCGCAGAACUCCGAUUGCGAAGGCAGCAUGCCGGCUCCACACUGACGCUGAGGCACGAAAGCGUGGGUAUCGAACAGGAUUAGAUACCCCUGUAGUC
rnacentral:rRNA from 1 species